AUUUAAACCUGAUUUUAUUGUCUUUGUUUUGACCUGAGUUACACUGUAAAACCACGUUUGGGACAUGAACUAAACAAAAACUAACCUAUUAGCAAAUUUAGGGUAUAAACGAGCAGCAGCAGGAGCUCCAAGUUCCUACAGGGUCGCCAGGGGGGUUGGUGCCUAUCUCCAUGAGUCACCCUGGACAGGUCUGCAGCCCAUCACAGAGACACACACACACACACACAUCUAAGGGCAAUUAGAGAGACCCGUUACCUUAACAGUCAUGUUGCUGGGCUGUGGGAGGAAGCCAAGGUACCUGGAGAGAACCCACCCAUGCAUGGGGAGAACAUGCAAACGCCCAGGCCGGGAUUCAAAGACAAUAGUGCUACUAACUUCACCACCAUGCAGCUCCUGUUUGCAGACAUUAAGUCUGGAAUUAGAGUGAAGUAAACAUUUCCCAAAAAUGUUCACUGCCUCCACACAUUUAUCUCUGCAGGCAGAAAUUUUACAUAAAAAUGUGGAGAGGUUUAUGUUAUCAGGCUCCUGGACCAGUAACCACCUCUCCAGGUUACCAGGUCCUGGUUUCCUGCAACCCAUAGAUGUUUAAAUAUGUGUAGCAGUUUAUUCCACCUCCUCAGUAGGCCAACCUCUGCAGAUGCUUUUAAAUGACAUUAAUUUCCAACAAGUGCGCAGGAUGAGGGGCUCUUCUAAGAGUUGGAGGCCCCAAAGGUCUGGUGAUGGAGACCAGCUUGCUACAAGCUUCCUAAUGAGAAGAAAAAUGUCCAAUCCUGUUCAUUCCAGCUGAAAAUAGAAUCAAGAUAUAGUGCUUCUCAAACAUUUACACACCCCUGUUUUGUGACGUAAAAACCACGAUAAAUUUUUUCCAAAGUUUUUGUACACACAAUGCAACAUCUAUCUAAAAAUAAAAUCCCUCUUCAUCAACAGGUUUCUAGCAGACAUCUGAAGGUUUCAGCCCAAAACUGGCACUUUUCAGAAUUUUAAUCACGUUGACCAAAACCCCCAGUUCCAUCUGAUGAAUACCAACACCCAUGCAUGAUGCUGCCACCACCGUGUUUUACUAGUGGGGAUGGUGAAACUUUGUUUUUUGUCAAAUUUAACUUUUGCAAAUGUGGCUCUGAGUUCAACUUUCAUUACAUCAGACUAAAACACAUUUAUAGACAUGGUUUUGAAAGGUUUUGGCCCGGCCUGGAUGUUUUCUUUGAAAGAAAAACCUUUUGGUACCGCACAAAAAAGUCCCUGUUGGAAAUUCCCUGUUGUCUUUAUUGCUGUGGGGAUUUUUGGGGCGCCGUCUCCUGAUACCUUUGUUCACAGAACCUUUUUAUCAUUUGAAUGCCAGCUGUUGAGAUGGUGUGACAGGAGGUGCAAAUGGAGCUGUAAUCCUCAAUUAGUUUGACAAUCCUCCCUUAAUGUGGUCUGUCUUGUGCAACCAGAACCUUCGCAGUGUGUGAGGUUCCCCCCUAUUUCCAUUAGUUCCAAGAUUGGGCUGCUGAACAUCUGUGCACCCUACAUGUCAGGAGAUGGCAGAAGAAAACCACCUGGUCUUGUAUAAACCGACAAAUUGACCCAGAACCAACGAUGCAUGCAAGAAUAAGCUGCAGCUUUUUAUCUCACCUGUCCGUCCAUCUUUUUACACCGGAAACACAAUUGUCACAAAAAUGUGUGCACAAAAACCAUCCCAUGGUCCUCAACCUUGGAGAUCACAUCAUUCACAGUUACUGUUCUGCAGCUUAGACCUUUUCAGGGUAAUGAUGACAAGCGACAGGUACACCACCGAGUCACAGCCAAUGUCAUGUGGACAAGUGACAAAAAAGGAGGAAAUUUAGAUUUUCUGAGGAAAUAAAAUGCCAAAGAAGAAAAGAUGAGCGAAAUUAAUAAUCCCUUUUUAAAGAGAUCAACUGAAAGCUAGAAAACCUUUAAUCAGCAUCUUAAGAAGAGGCAUUAAAAAACUGUCCAUCCUUAGAGGAAGAGGAGGAGGAAGAAUACAGAGGAAAAGGCUUUUAUUUUGAAGAAAUCUAAUUCUGAGGAGGCUUGCAUGAAACCCAACCAGAUGCUACCAAAUGGAAUCUGCAUUUAUCCAUCAUUUCCUCAACUCCUGAAGGUCCUGAAGUUCAAACUGUUUCUGGGGAUGAUGAACAAACAUCAACAGAUCCCUCAUCAGUAAAUGAGAACAUUUAUUCAUGAAUGUUGUAAAUAUUUGGAUGAAGAUUAAACCUACUGACAAAUGAGUGUAUUUAUGUAGCCUUGAUGAACAUUCAAAU